CCCGAGCCCCUCGCACGCGCUAGGUUCCCCCACCCCCAUAUUCUGCGACCACCACGCCGCCGCCACCCCCAUCUUCUGUGACCACCACGCCGCCGCCGCCCCCAUCUUCUGUGACCACCACGCCGUCGACGCCGUCCUGAAGCACGCUGCUCCUCUCCCUAGCCAAGCCGCCCUGAAUCUCGCGAUGGAGGUGGCCGCCUCGUGGCCAUGGAGGGCUCGCCAGCCGCCUCCGGAGUCCCACAUCCGCAAGAUCAACUGGAUUGCAGCCACCUGGCCUAGGUUGUCGGCCCUCGACGGGCUCCUCCAUCACGUCUGGUUCCCCACAGUGGCCACGGGCCUCCUCUCUCUCUCCAUCCUGCGCUCCUCCUUCUCCACUUUACGUUUCCGGCUGUGGCUGAAGGUCACCUCUCCCUAUCCACCCUUCUAAUCUGGAGCACAUGUGGAGAGCCUGGUUGUGUCUGGCGGAGAUGGCACCCCACGUCUGCACCCCAUAAGGUUCAGAAGCUUGAGAAAUUUUAUGUGGACAUGACCUUGCAAAGAGAACUGAAGAAACCUUGAUGCAAAAGGAAACUUCCUCAAGAAGAGAUUGAAAAUCCAACAUCACAUCAUAUAGAAGACUGGUGAAUUCAGAACUGCUGCUUGUGAACUUGCCGCUGAUCAAUUACAGUUUUGAAACAAGACCCCCCGCCUCGCUGCCACCAUCGUUGCCGCAAGGUACGUUCACCGGAAUACUGGAGUGUUGAUUUUUUGGUAAAAUAUGUGUGCGCUAAUUUGACUUCCUUUACCCCAAAGAUUGAUACUCUAAUUUAAGCCUGAAUCUUGUUUUAUAUUUUGAGACAAGAAACCUGUUUCUGUUACUGCCUAUUUUGUUCAGCCCUCAAUUUUUUCUGAACUUACUUUCUCUACAACUGAUGGCGUCGCUGCCUCAGCUGCUUGAUGGUGUGCAGUGUUCAUCUCGCACCUGGGACAACCAUCUCGUGCCUAGACAUCACUGGCGUUUCUCACGCCUUGUCUGCCUGCGGUGUGCACUACUAAUUCUUAUGAAAUUCUUUUGAACCAUCCAAUGCUUCACUGUUGUUUAAAUUGAAUUCUUGAGGAAGAACAUGAGCAACAUACCACAUAUUUGCAGAUUGUAGAGAUGUUUAGAGGAUAACAAUACGUAUGAGUUCUGUUCAAUUUGUAGAGCUGUGCUAAUGCUAAUCAGAUUGAUCUCUAAAUUAGUGCCAAGUAAAGAUUUUGGCGUCAGCUCCAGUUGUGGUCAGCUAUAUGAUUGUACUUGGCAAAAAUUUCUUCAGGGUCUUGUUUGUAGACAGCAGCUAGAUCCUUUGAGCUUCAGUUUUCUUGUAUUGGAGCUGCAUCGCUUCAUAUAUGUUCGUCAAUAAAGGCGGGCGGCAACACAGAUUGGAGAGAGGAGACGAAAAGGAAGGAGGCUGAUCUGGGAUAGACGAGAUUGUAUCAAUCCCAGAAAGAUGAGAACGAUGGCUGGAAGGCAGGGCGUUGUUGGAUGGAUGGGAGAGUGAGAGAGACAAUCAUUAAACUAUCACAUGGUUGUGCAUAUGCACUAUCUAUUAAACUGACAAUCGUUGUUUUUCAGGUUCAUGUUCCAUAUGUCAGGGCUGAAGUACGCUCCUGAGUUAAAGAAAGACCUUGAGAGACUCUAUAGAAUACUAUUUUAAUGAUCAAUCACGAUGUUGGACGCGACAACCUACUUAUUCCCGAGACUUUAAGUCUUUGGUGGCUUAAGCACAAUAUGCCCGGCAUAUGUUCUACAUCUGUGUCUAUAAGUCUAUGAGGAGUUUGAUAUUUACAGAGAAAGUUGACCCCUAAAAAUGAAUA